rnacentral:lncRNA from 1 species
GCCGAGGACCAGAACCCAGGCCAAGUCCCUCCCCGGAGCAGCUGGGCGUCUGCGCCGCCGGCUGAGUUCCCCGCCGGGCGGCGACCUUAUGCCCCCCGCCCCCGCCUCGGCCGCGUCCCCGCGCUCCCGGCAGCCUGCGAGGGGGAGGAGGAGGGGGCGUGGGGUCCGCCGCCGCUGCAGACAACGACAGGAGCCGGGUGCUGGACCCAAACCUGGAGGGGACGCCAGAGCCACGGCGAGGCUUUUGCACGCUGGGGCCCCACCCCACCUCAAGGGGACCACGCCUGCGCCUUAACUCUGGCAGCGCCGCCGGCGCCGCGAGCUAGAAUUUGCUUGGCAUCGAGAGGUGCCCUGGGUGUUGGCAGGCGGCGCCUCCCUCACUUUGGGCCGGACAGUGUGUGUGUGUGUGUGUGUGUGUGUGUGUGUGUGUGUGNNNNNNNNNNNNNNNNNGUGUGUGUGUGUGUGUGUGUGUGUGUGUGUGUGUGUGUGUGUGUGUCCUUUGGCCUCACCAGAGGCUCCAAAUCGGCCACCCGCACCCAGAGGCAAGGUACUUCUGGGCCCACACAGCUUCUGGAGGCCCAGCUCCCAGGAAUGCUAGGGACCGUUAAUGCGACUUUUAGCCUAAAGGCCAAGGAUACAUUAGCGAAGGGCAAACACGGCACAAUGAUCAUUUAUCAUCUGGAGCCGGAGAGGGCGCUGGGAACCCUGUCCUGGCCUCAGGACUCAAGGUCAGAGCUUCUGCCUUCCCUCAUUAUUUCUAUUUUUAACGAUUGUGCUCAGGCCUCUUGCAAAAAUAGCAAGAGGUGAGAACAUUUCUAACACGAACCUGCUCCCCUUUGUUGGAAAACUGUGGGGAUGUGGGAAAAACUGGCCAGGAUCUGGGCAAUGUGGCAUCAAGUUGUCUCCUGCAUGGCUGGUGGCCCCCCCGCUUGCUGCUCAGGUGGGUAAACUGAGGCCCCGCUGGGCAGGCACAGGCCAGGGUCAGCCACGGGUCCUGGCCCCUCUGAAACACAGGCCCAGGUGGCCAGAGGGCCCAGUCUGCGGCCCUGAUGGUGGG